rnacentral:piRNA from 1 species
UAAAACAUGCAGUGCAAAUUCAGGCU